UACGUAGGGGGCAAGCGUUGUCCGGAAUCAUUGGGCGUAAAGCGCGUGUAGGCGGCCCGGUAAGUCCGCUGUGAAAGUCGGGGGCUCAACCCUCGAAUGCCGGUGGAUACUGUCGGGCUAGAGUGCGGGAGAGGCGAGUGGAAUUCCUGGUGUAGCGGUGAAAUGCGCAGAUAUCAGGAGGAACACCAAUUGCGAAGGCAGCUCGCUGGAACGUAACGGACGCUGAGACGCGAAAGCGUGGGGAGCAAACAGG
rnacentral:rRNA from 1 species